UUAACACAUGCAAGUCGAACGGAAAGGCCCUUUCGGGGGUACUCGAGUGGCGAACGGGUGAGUAACACGUGGGUGAUCUGCCCUGCACUUUGGGAUAAGCUUGGGAAACUGGGUCUAAUACCGGAUAGGACUACGGCCUGCAUGGGUUGUGGUGGAAAGCUUUUGCGGUGUGGGAUGGGCCCGCGGCCUAUCAGCUUGUUGGUGGGGUGAUGGCCUACCGAGGCGACGACGGGUAGCCGGCCUGAGAGGGUGUCCGGCCACACUGGGACUGAGAUACGGCCCAGACUCCUACGGGAGGCAGCAGUGGGGAAUAUUGCACAAUGGGCGCAAGCCUGAUGCAGCGACGCCGCGUGGGGGAUGACGGCCUUCGGGUUGUAAACCUCUUUCACCAUCGGCGAAGCCGGGGGCUUUUGUUUCCGGUGACGGUAGGUGGAGAAGAAGCACCGGCCAACUACGUGCCAGCAGCCGCGGUAAU
rnacentral:rRNA from 1 species